CUGGGCGCCGAACGACGUGACGCCAGUUUUCAAGCUCCUGCACACGCGCAGCUGUUCUCGGUACAGAGCUCACAUGGCGCACGAGGAGCUGCGACACAAGCAAAUAGGACAAGAAACAGCAAAAAAAAACAACAAAAAAAAACCCCAAAAAAACCCCCAAAACGGAUGAUAUUCAUAUUUUUGUUCUCUCGUCAUGAUUUAUGUAUUUGCAUUUUAGCAUAUGAGUUAUAUUUCAAGUGGUUUAUUAGCUACAACCAAAUCACCGCUUCACUAAAGAAAUUUUGCCGCACUUCUCCGGAUAAAGGGACACGCGCGCUUAACGGUUUGCUUAUGCAGUUGGAAAAGGAGAUGGAAAACACCCACUCAAAUGAAAUGCGUUUUUGGUUCAUUAGAAACAGCCUAACGACAGCCUGACAUAUGGAAUCGAGUAAACACACAUACAUUCAGAGAGCCUCAGAUGAAUCUCUGCACCAUAAGGGUCAAGCAUGAAAGACUGCACAGUCCCAGUGAAUUAAUGUUUACAGACAUUUUGCUGCAAGAUCUGCUAUUUUUGAACAAGGACAGGUCCUGGAUGUGUGCUAAUGCCAAAAAAAGAGGACAACAGCAGUGAACACAGUGAGCCAAUCUUAGUAGACACUGCUAUUUAGAGUAUAUGCUCAGUGGGAGCUUAUUUUAGGAAGAAACAGCCUACAUCAUAUUGAGUUAAGCUGAAUAUACAGUAGCUGAUUGUACCGUGCACUGGCUGUGCCUCUCUUCAGGAACAAAAUAAUUUACCAAAGCAGAAGCUCUGAGUAUAUUUACAACCUUAUCUUUUAUAGUCUGUAUUCAUAAAUGCAUGACUAAAAGUAAAUAGACUAAAAGUACGUAUUUUUUUUCUGUAUUGUUAGGAUACAUAUCUUAUACUUAGUGGAUAUGAAACAGUGGUCAGAACCUACCAUGAUAUAUAACAUUCUGUUGAAGGUCAACUCAAAUUUAAAUAGACUUAAACUUUGAAAUUCAACAGCAGAAAGUGUAUUUGGGUUGUGUUUGUAUAGUCUCCAUUAGCCUGCCUUAGCCUACCUGGAAAUUUCUCACAGAUUUAGCCUAUACAUUACUGGAAACUUGGGGAAUCUGUAAUGGAAUUCUGUGUUGUUCCUCUGUUUCUUCUGAAGUAAUUUGUCAAUAAUAAAAUAAAAAAUAA